rnacentral:rRNA from 1 species
GACGAACGCUGGCGGCGUGCUUAACACAUGCAAGUCGAACGGAAAGGCCAUGCUUUUGUGGGGUGCUCGAGUGGCGAACGGGUGAGUAACACGUGAGUAAACUGCCCUUGACUUUGGGAUAACUUCAGGAAACUGGGGCUAAUAUAGGAUAGGAGCUCCUGCUGCAUGGUGGGGGUUGGAAAGUUUCGGCGGUUGGGGAUGGACUCGCGGCUUAUCAGCUUGUUGGUGGGGUAGUGGAUUACCAAGGUUUUGACGGGUAGCCGGCCUGAGAGGGUGACCGGCCACAUUGGGACUGAGAGACGGCCCAGACUCCUACGGGAGGCAGCAGUGGGGAAUAUUGCACAAUGGGCGGAAGCCUGAUGCAGCAACGCCGCGUGCGGGAUGACGGCCUUCGGGUUGUAAACCGCUUUCGCCUGUGACGAAGCGUGAUUGACGGUAAUGGGUAAAGAAGCACCGGCUAACUACGUG